ACGUGGGUAACCUGCCUGUAAGACUGGGAUAACUCCGGGAAACCGGGGCUAAUACCGGAUGGUUGUUUGAACCGCAUGGUUCAGACAUAAAAGGUGGCUUCGGCUACCACUUACAGAUGGACCCGCGGCGCAUUAGCUAGUUGGUGAGGUAACGGCUCACCAAGGCGACGAUGCGUAGCCGACCUGAGAGGGUGAUCGGCCACACUGGGACUGAGACACGGCCCAGACUCCUACGGGAGGCAGCAGUAGGGAAUCUUCCGCAAUGGACGAAAGUCUGACGGAGCAACGCCGCGUGAGUGAUGAAGGUUUUCGGAUCGUAAAGCUCUGUUGUUAGGGAAGAACAAGUGCCGUUCAAAUAGGGCGGCACCUUGACGGUACCUAACCAGAAAGCCACGGCUAACUACGUGCCAGCAGCCGCGGUAAUACGUAGGUGGCAAGCGUUGUCCGGAAUUAUUGGGCGUAAAGGGCUCGCAGGCGGUUUCUUAAGUCUGAUGUGAAAGCCCCCGGCUCAACCGGGGAGGGUCAUUGGAAACUGGGGAACUUGAGUGCAGAAGAGGAGAGUGGAAUUCCACGUGUAGCGGUGAAAUGCGUAGAGAUGUGGAGGAACACCAGUGGCGAAGGCGACUCUCUGGUCUGUAACUGACGCUGAGGAGCGAAAGCGUGGGGAGCGAACAGGAUUAGAUACCCUGGUAGUCCACGCCGUAAACGAUGAGUGCUAAGUGUUAGGGGGUUUCCGCCCCUUAGUGCUGCAGCUAACGCAUUAAGCACUCCGCCUGGGGAGUACGGUCGCAAGACUGAAACUCAAAGGAAUUGACGGGGGCCCGCACAAGCGGUGGAGCAUGUGGUUUAAUUCGAAGCAACGCGAAGAACCUUACCAGGUCUUGACAUCCUCUGACAAUCCUAGAGAUAGGACGUCCCCUUCGGGGGCAGAGUGACAGGUGGUGCAUGGUUGUCGUCAGCUCGUGUCGUGAGAUGUUGGGUUAAGUCCCGCAACGAGCGCAACCCUUGAUCUUAGUUGCCAGCAUUCAGUUGGGCACUCUAAGGUGACUGCCGGUGACAAACCGGAGGAAGGUGGGGAUGACGUCAAAUCAUCAUGCCCCUUAUGACCUGGGCUACACACGUGCUACAAUGGACAGAACAAAGGGCAGCGAAACCGCGAGGUUAAGCCAAUCCCACAAAUCUGUUCUCAGUUCGGAUCGCAGUCUGCAACUCGACUGCGUGAAGCUGGAAUCGCUAGUAAUCGCGGAUCAGCAUGCCGCGGUGUUUACGUUUUCGGCCCUUGUACACA
rnacentral:rRNA from 1 species